rnacentral:ncRNA from 1 species
GAAAAAGCGCCGGGACUCCCUGCGAAACGGCAGGGAGUUGACGAGGACGGGGGACGAUCGAAAGAUUCGGCGGAUGCCUCCGGGGUUCAAUGGGGAAUCCUCAGACGAACAGCAAAAACUGCGGGCGACCGCGGUCACAAAGGG